GGGGACGUAACAAAGCGACCCAGGAAUGCUUGGGCGUGCCUCCACCCACGCCGGCGUCGGCGGGCGUAUUUCGCCUCACAGUAGGUCGCCGCGACCCGUUGCUUUUGGGGACGUCGAAGGCCCGGACGGAUUGGUACCCUACCGGCUGGGGAUGCGGCUUCGGCUUCUCCUCUUGUCCGGUGGGCGAAACCGCCGGUGUCCUGGCUGCCCUGCGACGGUCGUAGAGACGAGCCCUCCCCUUCGGGGGGGCGGCUCUCGCGGCGUGCAAAAGGUCGGUGAUCCACCCGACCCGUCUUGAAACACGGACCAAGGAGUCUAACAUGUGUGCGAGUCAGUGGGCGCACUAAACCCAGAGGCGUAAUGAAAGUGACACGGGUUCGGCUGUCGCCUCGUGUGGCAGCCGGACUCAGGGCCGAUCCCUCACCGGUUGCCCUCGCCUCUCUCCCGCGUCUCGGUAAGCCGGGUGAGCUAUUUUCCCCGGCCGCUGCUGCGGGGCUCGGGGGGAGGCGGGGUGCGAUGGUGUCUGUAAAAAAGAGCCUGCUGUUGCAGGGGGGCGCAGGCCCGGGACUUGCCAGGACGCCGCGAGACUGUCACUUUGCUGUGAGGCUCUCGGGCCGAUCAGCGGGUCAUGCGUGCAGUCGGCAAGUACCAUGAGCAGACAUGUUGGGACCCGAAAGAUGGUGAACUAUGCCUGGCCAGGAUGAAGCCAGAGGAAACUCUGGUGGAGGUCCGUAGCGAUUCUGACGUGCAAAUC
rnacentral:rRNA from 1 species